GAGAACACGUAAAGCAGAGGAUAAUGGGAGCGAGUCCAGCAGAAGUUAGCCAGAAAAAUCCCAUCUCAGCAGCAGUUGUUGUCAUCUAGGCAUUGCUUUUCAGGACACAGCUGAGAGGCAUUGGGAAUUACAGAUAAGCCCCAGCACGGGGAGCAUGUCUUCUGCCAGCCCUGUAACAUGGUGGGAGAGGCAGAUGAAUGCAGAGGUGUGGAUUUCACACCCUCUGUAGAAGGACUGAGGCAUCCCCAGCUCCAGAGGAGGGAGGCGAGCCCUGAGCACUUGGGGACGUGGCAGGCUGACCAGAAGCCCUCUGAGGACGUGGGGCUGCCAGAAGCAGCACAGAGGGACCACCGAGGUGCCUUGCUGGUACGGGGGAGUGCCUGGGGCAGCCUGAAAGUUAUAACUCAGAAGCACAUCUGCACAGGUAAUUCGGAGCAGCCUUUUGGCCAUCUCAGAGCAGGGCUGUAAAUCCCCUCAGCCUGCAGAGCCCCAGGGUAAGAGAAGGUGGAGGAAGAAAUGGAGCAGCAUCCUCCCCAGAGCUUCUUUCUCCUCGGCGGCUGGCUCUGCGCUGCCAACAAGGACCGUAUGACUUGCACGCCUGGAGGAGACAACGUGGGUCCUUCCCUGGUUUGAGUCCGAGCCACCGCUGCUCUGCACUAACUUUUGGAAGGAUGAUGCGCUCCUUGCUGCUCUGGUCUGCACUCAGACCACGGCUAUGCUCAGCAUACAGUCGCGCAGGAGUGCUAGGCUGGCAGUGUCCAGACACAAUCCUGUGGGUAUGUCGUACGUCCGUGCCCAUUCAAACCCUUUCUUUGCAACGCUUGCUGAAGCUGAUUAAAGUACGAGAGCCUCCGUGUCCUCUGGUGUUUACACAGAGUAAGCAGCAAUACAGACAACACUUGCUAGGACUUCAGUCUAAUUUUCUGGGAUCUAACAAACUUCAUCCGCAGUAAAAGUAAACCUGCAGGUUUAUGCAGGUUCUUUCUGAAACUGUAGGGGAACUACAUCUUGUCCUUCCCGUUGCAGUAAGCAGCCAUCCCCAGCUUAUUUAA